rnacentral:sRNA from 1 species
AUGUGCCAGCGGACGUCGCGGUUGCUGUGCGCCGUCGCACCCGCAUGACGACUGUUCGCUGCGUUUUGUUAGCC